GGGCGGUUAGCUCAGCCGGAAGAGCGCUUCCUUCACACGGAAGAGGUCACAGGUUCAAGUCCUGUACCGCCCACCA
rnacentral:tRNA from 1 species